rnacentral:rRNA from 1 species
GAUGAACGCUGGCGGCGUGCCUAAUACAUGCAAGUCGAGCGAACAGACGAGGAGCUUGCUCCUCUGACGUUAGCGGCGGACGGGUGAGUAACACGUGGAUAACCUACCUAUAAGACUGGGAUAACUUCGGGAAACCGGAGCUAAUACCGGAUAAUAUAUUGAACCGCAUGGUUCAAUAGUGAAAGACGGUUUUGCUGUCACUUAUAGAUGGAUCCGCGCCGCAUUAGCUAGUUGGUAAGGUAACGGCUUACCAAGGCAACGAUGCGUAGCCGACCUGAGAGGGUGAUCGGCCACACCGGAACUGAGACACGGUCCAGACUCCUACGGGAGGCAGCAGUAGGGAAUCUUCCGCAAUGGGCGAAAGCCUGACGGAGCAACGCCGCGUGAGUGAUGAUGGUCUUCGGAUCGUAAAACUCUGUUAUUAGGGAAGAACAAAUGUGUAAGUAACUAUGCACGUCUUGACGGUACCUAAUCAGAAAGCCACGGCUAACUACGUG